ACGGAAGGCAGCAGUGGGGAAUAUUGCACAAUGGGGGAAACCCUGAUGCAGCGACGCCGCGUGAGUGAAGAAGUAUUUCGGUAUGUAAAGCUCUAUCAGCAGGGAAGAAAAUGACGGUACCUGACUAAGAAGCCCCGGCUAACUACGUGCCAGCAGCCGCGGUAAUACGUAGGGGGCAAGCGUUAUCCGGAUUUACUGGGUGUAAAGGGAGCGUAGACGGCGAUGCAAGUCUGAUGUGAAAGCCCGGGGCUCAACCCCGGCACUGCAUUGGAAACUGUGUUGCUAGAGUGCGGGAGAGGUAAGUGGAAUUCCUAGUGUAGCGGUGAAAUGCGUAGAUAUUAGGAGGAACACCAGUGGCGAAGGCGGCUUACUGGACUGUAACUGACGUUGAGGCUCGAAAGCGUGGGGAGCAAACAGGAUUAGAUACCCUGGUA
rnacentral:rRNA from 1 species